GGCCAAGUGCACGAUCCCAGCACAGCCUGUAACCGGAGCCCUGGAAGAGCAUUAGGAACGUGACAUCAGGGUGGCAUUUGCAGCCUCGCCCCCAACAGAUGAGGAAACUGAAGCAAUGGAGGUUAAAUAAAUUCUGAAGGUCACACCAUUGCAAUAGGAUGCAGGCAGCAGCCAUCUGAAGUCCAUAUCCAGACAACCAUGGAAACGCUGUGUCCUGCCAACAGGGCUGUCUUGUGCACCAGGUGUAUCCCCCCCACUCCCAGUGAUGGUUAAAAUAAAAAAGAAAUUGUUGCUAAAGGAAUACAUCACAUGACCUCUAAAACGUUCCAUCGUGACCUGUCCUUUGAGCAGAUAGCCAAGCCUGAUUGUACUACAAGCAUAUUGAUUAACUCAAGAGAUUCUUAACUAGCAGCAAGGAAGUGGAGUGCUCCUGUAACAAAGAUCUGAACAGGUGGAAGUGGCUUCGGCAUUGAAUCAUGGAUCAAAGCUGGAAGAAUUUUGAGGCACAGGAGAGAAAAAGCCCACAUCCUCUUAAUCGGACUGUUGGCAGAAACAUGGACAUUCAAAUCCCUUCUGGUGAGGGUUCAGAAGAGGAGAAACAUACAAAGGAGAAGGCCGUAUGAAGACAGAGGCAGAGAUUGGAGGGAUGCAGCCAAGGAAUGCUGGCAACCUCCAGAGCUGGAAGGGGCAAGGAAAGGAUUCUCCCCUAGAGCCUCCGGAGGGAGUAGGGUCCUGCCCACACUUUAAUCUCAGCCUCACGAUACUAGUUUUAGACUCUGGCCUCCAAAAC